GGGGAGCGGAUGUGCGCGGAGAUGGCCAUGAAGGAAACUAAGGUGGCAUUGCUUGAAAGACACUUGCACCUCAACAUCCACAGGCACAUGCCCUGCGAAGUAUACCGCCUAAGGUGUCCAUCCUGCAAUGCCCUUUCAGGCACAAACACAACACAUCCAUCAUUCUCCCGCUUCUAAUCUCACGCCGUACACUGCCUCAUCACUGCAUUCAGUGCCACCUGCUGAAUUACCAGCACCGGAGCCCAUCGCAUCGAGGAGCACCGGGGAGGUCUCACAUCCAAGCACUAACCCCGUCUAGCUUGGGGGAACUGACAAGAUCACAGCAGACGGUAAUAAAUAAAGUUUCAGACAGCACCAUAUGCAGCCACGAGCUGCAUUAUGUUACUACGGGAGCUCUGAGGUACUGAACUAGUCAAAGCUCCGCUGCUGGUGCAGGAGUCAAGAUGCAAGAUAUGCAAAAUGCAGGAUGCAGGUGAAGCAGCCAUUCUGAUCUGCACGUUUGGGCUUGCCCAUUUUUUCUGUUUUUUUUUGUCAUUCCUGUGAGGCAACUAAGCUAUAACUAUAAUAUUUCAUUUUACUUGAUAUCAGUAAUUGAA